rnacentral:rRNA from 1 species
GAUGAACGCUAGCGGCAGGCUUAACACAUGCAAGUCGAGGGGUAGUCUAGCAAUAGAUGAGACCGGCGCACGGGUGCGUAACGCGUAUGCAAUCUACCUUUUACAGAGGGAUAGCCCCAGAGAAAUUUGGAUUAAUACCUCAUAGCAUAGCAGCUUCGCAUGAAGUCACUAUUAAAGUUCCAACGGUAAAAGAUGAGCAUGCGUCCUAUUAGCUAGAUGGUAAGGUAACGGCUUACCAUGGCUACGAUAGGUAGGGGUCCUGAGAGGGAGAUCCCCCACACUGGUACUGAGACACGGACCAGACUCCUACGGGAGGCAG